UAGGGAAUCUUCGGCAAUGGGGGGAACCCUGACCGAGCAACGCCGCGUGAGUGAAGAAGGUUUUCGGAUCGUAAAGCUCUGUUGUUAAGGAAGAACGAGUGUGAGAAUGGAAAGUUCAUACUGUGACGGUACUUAACCAGAAAGGGACGGCUAACUACGUGCCAGCAGCCGCGGUAAUACGUAGGUCCCGAGCGUUGUCCGGAUUUAUUGGGCGUAAAGCGAGCGCAGGCGGUUAGAAAAGUCUGAAGUGAAAGGCAGUGGCUCAACCAUUGUAGGCUUUGGAAACUGUUUAACUUGAGUGCAGAAGGGGAGAGUGGAAUUCCAUGUGUAGCGGUGAAAUGCGUAGAUAUAUGGAGGAACACCGGUGGCGAAAGCGGCUCUCUGGUCUGUAACUGACGCUGAGGCUCGAAAGCGUGGGGAGCGAACAGGAUUAGAUACCCUGGUAGUCCACGCCGUAAACGAUGAGUGCUAGGUGUUAGGUCCUUUCCGGACUUAGUGCCGCAGCUAACGCAUUAAGCACUCCGCCUGGGGAGUACGACCGCAAGGUUG
rnacentral:rRNA from 1 species